CGUCCCCCCCACCACCACCAGCAUGAGAAACCCCCCAGGGCCACUGUGCCCCCCCCUCACAGGGCCACCGUGACCCCCCCCAGGGCCACUGUGACCCCUUCCAGGGCAACGGGGGCAGGAAUCGCCCCCUUGGGGCAAUAAUCACCCCCCCCGGAGGGGAAACUGAGGCAGGGGCUGCCCCCCCCCCCAUCACAGACCCCGUUCCAGAGUGGGGAAACUGAGGCAGCGGAGGCAGCCGGGGGGGGGAGGGGGGGGACGGGGGACCCCAGGGGACAGCGCUCACCGGGGGGGAGCGGCUGGGGACGGGGACGCUCUGGGGACACUCCAGGGGACACAGGGACACCCCAGGGUGACAUGGGGACACCCUGGGGACAGCGCUCACCGUGGGGGAGCGGUUGGGGACGGGGACACCCUGGGGUGACACAGGGACACCCCAGGCACAGCGCUCACCGUGGGGGAGCAGUUGGGGAUGGGGACACCCUGGGGUGACACAGGGACACCCCUGGGGACAGCGCUCACCAUGGGGGAGCGGUUGGGGCCAGGGGGCACAGGGGCACUCCAGGGGGCACAGGGACACCCCAGGGUGACUUGGGGACACCCCAGGGACAGUGCUUACUGUGGUGGAGCAGUUGGGGAUAGGGGGGGACAGGGACGCCCCGGGGACACCCCGGGGUGACAGGGGACACCGCGGGGACAGCGCUCACCGUGGUGGAGCGGUUGGGGCCCUGCCAGCAGCCCGUGCCGUGCUCGUACUUCAUGGCGCUGAAGCGGUCGUGCUCGGGGCCGGCCCAGGAGCCCCACGUCCUGCGGGGACGCGGGGACACCGUCACAGCGGGGACACGGGCGCCGUGACGCCGCAGGGACACGGGCACAGCGACACGGUGGGGACACAGGAACGUGGGGACAGCGCUGCAGCCAAGGACACGGGCAGCGUGACACCACGGGGACAGGGCCACCACGAGGCGGCAGGGACAUGGGGACGCAGGGACAGGACAGCGGCUGGGGACAGGGGGACACAGGGACAGCACAGUGGUGGGGACAUGGGGACACAGGGACACGGGG
rnacentral:lncRNA from 1 species